CCUGACUGCUAUCGGAUUGAUACUAAGCCAUGCGAGUCUUUGCAGUAAUGCAAGGCAUACGGCUCAGUAACACGUAGUCAACUUACCCUAUGGACGAGGAUAAUCUCGGGAAACUGAGCAUAAUACUCGAUAGAUCAUAAUGCCUGGAAUGGUUUAUGGUUGAAAUGAUUCGUCGCCAUAGGAUGGGACUGCGGCCUAUCAGCUUGUUGGUGAGGUAAUGGCCCACCAAGGCGAUUACAGGUACGGGCUCUGAGAGGAGAAGCCCGGAGGUGGGUACUGAGACAAGGACCCAGGCCCUAUGGGGCGCAGCAGGCGAGAAAACUUUGCAAUGUGCGAAAGCACGACAAGGUUAAUCCGAGUGAUUUCUGCUAAAGAAAUCUUUUGCAAGUCAUAAAACCACUAGUGAAUAAGGGGUGGGCAAGUUCUGGUGUCAGCCGCCGCGGUAAAACCAGCACCUCAAGUGGUCAGGAGGAUUAUUGGGCCUAAAGCAUCCGUAGCCGGCUCUGUAAGUUUUCGGUUAAAUCCAUGUGCUCAACGCAUGGGCUGCCGAAAAUACUGCAUAGCUAGAGAGUGGGAGAGGUAGACGGUACUCGGUAGGAAGGGGUAAAAUCCUUUGAUCUAUUGAUGACCACCUGUGGCGAAGGCGGUCUACCAGAACACGUUCGACGGUGAGGGAUGAAAGCUGGGGGAGCAAACCGGAUUAGAUACCCGGGUAGUCCCAGCUGUAAACGAUGCAGACUCGAUGAUGCAUUGGCAUAUAGCCAGUGCAGUGUCGCAGGGAAGCCGUUAAGUCUGCCGCCUGGGAAGUACGUACGCAAGUAUGAAACUUAAAGGAAUUGGCGGGGGAGCACCACAAGGGGUGAAGCCUGCGGUUC
rnacentral:rRNA from 1 species